GUAACGGCGAGUGAAGCGGUAACAGCUCAAAUUUGAAAUCUGGCUCUUUCAGGGUCCGAGUUGUAAUUUGUAGAAGAUGCUUCGGGUGUAGCUCCGGUCUAAGUUCCUUGGAACAGGACGUCAUAGAGGGUGAGAAUCCCGUAUGUGACUGGUUGCUUUCGCCCAUGUGAAGCUCUUUCGACGAGUCGAGUUGUUUGGGAAUGCAGCUCUAAAUGGGUGGUAAAUUUCAUCUAAAGCUAAAUAUUGGCCAGAGACCGAUAGCGCACAAGUAGAGUGAUCGAAAGAUGAAAAGCACUUUGGAAAGAGAGUUAAACAGUACGUGAAAUUGUUGAAAGGGAAGCGCUUGCAACCAGACUUGCACCCCGUCGAUCAUCCCCCGUUCUCGGAGGUGCACUCGGCGGGGUUCAGGCCAGCAUCGGUUUCGGUGGUGGGAUAAAGGCCUUGGGAACGUAGCUCCUCUCGGGGAGUGUUAUAGCCCUCGGUGCAAUGCCGCCUACCGGGACCGAGGACCGCGCUUCGGCUAGGAUGCUGGCGUAAUGGUUG
rnacentral:rRNA from 2 species